UACAGAGGGUGCAAGCGUUGUUCGGAAUUAUUGGGCGUAAAGAGCGUGUAGGCGGCCAUACAGGUCAGCUGUGAAAACUCGAGGCUCAACCUCGAGACGUCGGUUGAAACCGUUUGGCUAGAGUCCGGAAGAGGAGAGUGGAAUUCCCGGUGUAGCGGUGAAAUGCGCAGAUAUCGGGAAGAACACCCGUGGCGAAGGCGGCUCUCUGGGACGGUACUGACGCUGAGACGCGAAAGCGUGGGGAGCGAACAGG
rnacentral:rRNA from 1 species